rnacentral:rRNA from 1 species
UGGGGAAUUUUGCACAAUGGGCGAAAGCCUGAUGCAGCAACGCCGCGUGCGGGAUGAAGGCCCUCGGGUUGUAAACCGCUUUCAGCAGGGACGAAUAUGACGGUACCUGCAGAAGAAGCCCCGGCUAACUACGUGCCAGCAGCCGCGGUAAUACGUAGGGGGCAAGCGUUAUCCGGAUUCAUUGGGCGUAAAGAGCGCGUAGGCGGACUGUUAAGUCAGAUGUGAAAACCGGGGGCUCAACCCGCGGCCUGCAUCUGAAACUGGCAGUCUUGAGUCUGGUAGAGGAAAGUGGAAUUCCUGGUGUAGCGGUGAAAUACGCAGAUAUCAGGAGGAACACCAGUGGCGAAGGCGGCUUUCUGGGCCACGACUGACGCUGAGGCGCGAAAGCUAGGGGAGCGAAC